rnacentral:rRNA from 1 species
CAGCAGCCGCGGGAAAACGGAGGGGGCUAGCGUUGUUCGGAAUUACUGGGCGUAAAGCGCACGUAGGCGGCUCUGUAAGUUAGAGGUGAAAGCCUGGGGCUCAACUCCAGAAUUGCCUUUAAGACUGCAUCGCUUGAACGUCGGAGAGGUGAGUGGAAUUCCGAGUGUAGAGGUGAAAUUCGUAGAUAUUCGGAAGAACACCAGUGGCGAAGGCGGCUCACUGGACGACUGUUGACGCUGAGGUGCGAAAGCGUGGGGAGCAAACAGGAUUAGAUACCCCUGUAGUCCCUGUCUCUUAUAC